rnacentral:rRNA from 1 species
UACAGAGGGGGCAAGCGUUGUUCGGAAUUACUGGGCGUAAAGGGCGCGUAGGCGCCUUCUAAGUCGAACGUGAAAUCCCCGGGCUCAACCCGGGAACUGCGUCCGAUACUGGAAGGCUUGAAUCCGGGAGAGGGAUGCGGAAUUCCAGGUGUAGCGGUGAAAUGCGUAGAUAUCUGGAGGAACACCGGUGGCGAAGGCGGCAUCCUGGACCGGCAUUGACGCUGAGGCGCGAAAGCCAGGGGAGCAACGGG